UCUACUUGUUUCAAAAGCUGUAAUUGACUGGUAGGGUUGCAACAAAAUUAAAGACCAAAAUAACUUGUGUUCAAAGUUUGCAGGCAUAAAAUGUGAUGUUACUUCAAGGUUUGGAUACAGACUUCAUAAAUAUUCAGGGCUGAAGGUCGCAAGCCAAGCCCAAGUUGUUUAAGUCAGCAGAAGGACUACUGCAAGCUUCAAAGGAACUUGAAUACAUUUUUAAGAACAUUUCAGAAUGGUUCUUAUCCUGUGCUGAAGGAUCAUUUAACUAUCAGGAUAAGAAGUACAAGCAGACAGCACCAGGCUCUGUCAUACCCCAUAGAAAUAGACAGCUCUUCCAAGCAGACCAUCUCAUCUGUUCAGAUUACCUGUCAUGUUUGGGGAGACCCAAAUCUUUUCCAAAUAAAAGGCUUUGACUGAAAAUUUCGUAGACACCCAAACCAUAACUGAAGGCCAAGAUGUCAAAUGUUACAAAUACGGUACCUACAUAAAAAGGUCCUACUAGAGCAGACUGUUGUAAGAGGUCACUCUUUUACGCCAUUGCCUCAAAGCUUGCUGAGGGACAAGAUGAACAAUUUCAAGCAAGUCCUGACCAAGGAUUGGGAAAUUCUUUGUCUGAAGGGACAACAGAUGGACAAGGCCAGGGGCAACGAGAGAGAGAUAAGUGGCAACUAAAUGGCCAGGAAACAGUCUUUUGUGUGGACUUAUCUCAAGGGAGACAGCCAUCUCAGGGGGUGCUCACAUGACCCUUACCAAGCGCCCAGGAAUGUCACGUAGGCAGGGAAGGAGGAUAAAAGAAGCUCCAAAAAACCAUGAAGGCAGGUUUCUGACAACAGAUUCCUCAUGACCUGGCUCUCCCUCCUGGACUUGCUCUGUGCUCUACCUGCUUGCUGCCUAAGGAUGGCCCCUCUGCUGCUGCUCUCCCCUGCGAGAAGGUACCUGCCAUCAGAUCCCUCACUACGAAAGGCCUGCAUGCUGGCGGACUCUCCAGGGCCUGCUACCGGAGACCUGCUGCUUCCUCCUGGACUUCUUCCUGGACCUACUUGGUACCUGCACUCUCUUGCUGCCCAAGACCAGCCAUGCUGCUGCUGCUGCUCUUCCCCUGUGCUUUUGCCCCGGACCAUCGGAACAUUGUGCAAUGGGACAACUGCCGGAUCCUGGUGAGCCGAGGUCUGAGAAGAUUUGUAAGUCAGUGGAAUUUCUGCUUUGGAUGAAAUAACUCACGGUUGUAAAUCUAUGUGCUAGCACACUUCUUAAGCAAGAUACAGUACAGGGAAACUACAAAUAGUGUCUACGUUCCUUCUAUGUGGCUGAGAUUAGAAGACUGUUAACAAUAGAGAGUGAGUGGGAAAGUCUGGGACUGGAACGUCAAGAACAAACCGCAGAAGAAGAGAUUGAGGAGCCCAAAACCAUACUCCGCACUUGAGGUGUGGCCUUACCAGUGCCAAGUACAGAGAGAUGAUCACCUCCUCGCUCCUGCUGGCCACACUAUUUUUGAUAUUUUUUGUAUAUUUUUGAUACAGAUGAAGAUCCCAUCGGCCUUCUUGGCAACCUGGCACCCUGCUGGCUCAUUUUCAGCAAGUUGUUGACCAGCACCUCCAGGACUAUUUCUGUCAAGCAACGUGUGAACCAGCCUUCCCCAAGCUUCGAUGUUUUGUUGCUACCCAAGUGCAGCACAUGACACUUAGCCUUGUUGAAUGUCAUUUUUAUUGGAUUUGGCCCAUUGAUCUAGUCCAUCCAGAUCCCUCUGCAAAGACUUCCUACACUAAGGAAUAUUAGCAAUCCUGACUUACUCACUGUAGUCUGUGAACUUACUGAGGAUGUACUCAAUUCUCUCAUUCUGACCAUUGAUUAAAAUGUUAAACAAAAGUGGCUUAAAGAUUGAGCCCUGUGGAAUGCCACUGAUGACAAGUUACCAACUGGACUGAACUCCAUUUGCUAGAACUCUUUGAGUCUGGCCACUCAGCCACUUCUUUGCCCAGAGAACUGUACACCUGUCCAAGCUAUGUGCAGCCAGUUCUUAUUCAGGAGAAUUCCGUGAGAAACAGUUAUACACUUUGGUCAGUCAGGACUUUCCGUUCACAAACACAAGCUGACUUGUUCUGACCACUGAAUUGUCCCUUCUUUGCUGUAUGAUGGCAUUCAAGAUGAUCAGGCCUAGACUCAGUAUAUGUAGCUCCUUCUGGCAUGAAACAGGUCCAUACAUGAUUGAAGUUAGUUGUCAUAUGCCAGUUUUGUUCAUUUCCUGAUAUUCUUUUUCUCUUCACACUUCCGUGAGAAAUUUAAACCCAAAGGAUUUCUUGAAAUACUGUUCACAUCUGAAAACUGGAAGUCAAAUAAUAAAAAUAUCCUGUUUGAUAUGAGGUCAAUCAUUAACGUAGACAAGGAAAAUUCACAGAGAAGAAUGCUCAGUAUCAAUAAAUUGUCCAAACACUUUUAUAGAAUACACAAAAGUAUUUACGGGGGGGUUAUAAGGAAACAGCAAUCAUUUCUACAGUUGAUCCAUUGUUGUAAAAACGGCCAAAAGGAACAGCUGAGUGAAUAAUUUCAUCAACAUCCUUUCCUCCCCUACACACGAACAUAACUAACUGCAGUGUGUUGAGAAAGAUACUAAUUAUUCAGCCUGUGCAGUUUUGUUUAAGACAUCUGCAAAAUGGAAAUCAAUAAAACCUGAUGUUUUGGAAAAAAGAAUGUUCUAAGCUCUUUUGAACAUUUUUUUCUAACCAUAUUAACUGUGAGUAUGCAAGUUGGCAUAUCAUAUUAGAAAUGACUGGUUAGAUCAGUGAGGAAAGUGAUCUCUGUUUUUGCAGAUUUCUACAUUUGUAAAUGCAGUUUAAAAGAAGGAUAGCAUAUAAAAUUGGAAGACUUUCUUGUUUUUUUCUAAAUUAUGAAAUGAUACAUUAAAACAUAUUUUGUGGGCGCUGUUUACUACUGGGAAGGCAUGUAAUUAUUCUUUUUUUUUUUUUUAAUGAAACAUUCACUAAAUAGCUGUUAUAUUGAAUAAAUAAUACAAAACACCCAGAGAGUUGUAUCACAAUUGCAAAGUAAGCAUACUUUUGAUUAUAUUGCUUUAGAAGUGAUGAGAAAUAAAAUUGCUGAUAUUUCUCAAUAAUUAUGCGUCCCAUAGGUAUUUUCUUCUCCCUAAAACAGAGGAGUAAACAAAUGCACUGAGCCAUUACAUUUCUGUAAUGACUUGCAAAAUCUACUGCUAAGAAACUUUUUGGAAAAACUGUUGGGUAAUUGAGCAUAUUAGUCUGAAUGGAGAGCUCUGAUUCAAAAGUAUUUUAGAUCCGCUUUACGUAGUUACAGUGCAAGAGUAGAGAAUUCAGGACACUUUAAAAUCUCACAAAGAGUUACUCGUGGUAGCUGUACUUCCUUUUAAUAAAGAACAUGAUUUUCAAGGUAGUUGUAAUCAAAUAUCAUGGAUGUAAUUGAAAUGAGUUUGCAGCCUUAAGAGAUUAUUACAAGAAGUACAUUUGUAAAGAUUUAAUUCAGUGUACAUAAAAAUUAAAUUUAAGUAACAAUUUGGAUUGGAUACAGUGCGGUUUGCACAAUUCUCUGGAUUAUGUCAUAAGAAUAUUUAAUAUCCAAAUUGUUGGAUUCGAGAUAUUUUCACCUGUUAUUUGGGAAAUUAUUUUAUUUUAAAAAAUAAUGAAAACGUUGUAUUAUUAUAUCCAAUAAGCAAUAUUUUUUUUUAGUACUGAAGAGCUAAGUAAAAAAAUCUGGGGAGAUUUUUGGGGAAAAAAAAGCAUUAUUUACCUGAAUUAACUUGAACUUGUGGGAUAUGAAUACGUGUAUACAUUUGUGAGUGCACAUACACGUUUAUAUAUACAUAUGUAUACACACACAUAUAAGUAUAUAUAUCUAAACUUGUACAUCCUGUAUCCUAUAGGAUAAUUUUGUCCUUGCAGUCCAGAAAGCCAACCAUAUCCUGUGCUGCAUCAAAAGAAGUUGGACUAGAUGUCCUUCAGAGGUCCCUUCCAACUCUAUGAUUCUAUGAUUUUACAAUAACACUGAUAUUCUACUAAACCUGCCUGCUUCUGGAGUCUGAACUGAAAUUAGUCUUGUUAAUAUAGUAGUAUAAACUAAUAUAUACUCAUACUUGCUAAUAAUAUAAGAAACUCACACAAAGAUGCUGGAAAUGUCAGUGUGAGACAGUAAGCAGACAGCUGGCUGCUUAACAGAGGUCAAGUUCCAGCUAUUCACAUGGUGCUAUGGAAGAACAAGGUUUUGAUUAUCUAUCCAUGUUAUGGAUGCAUUACAUAUUGAUCUGUUUGUUG
ensembl:lncRNA